rnacentral:tRNA from 16 species
AAGGUAGCUGAAUGGUUAACAGCAUGGUCUUGAGGAUGAAAGGUUCUUGGUUCAAUUCUUGGU